rnacentral:tRNA from 1 species
AUUAUUUUGGCAGAUUAGUGCAUUAAAUUUAGAAUUUAAUAAAAAUAUAAAAAUUUUAUAUAGAUAAUA